GACGAACCGUGCGAACGUUAUUCGGAAUAACUGGGCUUAAAGGGCGCGUAGGCGGGCUAUCAAGUCUGGGGUGAAAUCCCGCGGCUCAACCGUGGAACUGCCUCAGAUACUGACGGCCUCGAGGGAGAUAGGGGCAUGCGGAACUGUAGGUGGAGCGGUGAAAUGCGUUGAUAUCUACAGGAACUCCGGUGGCGAAAGCGGCGUGCUGGAUCUCUUCUGACGCUGAGGCUCGAAAGCUAGGGGAGCAAACGGG
rnacentral:rRNA from 1 species